GAAAGUGGGGGAUUCGCAAGGACCUCACGUUAGGGGAGCGGCCGAUGUCCGAUUAGCUAGUUGGUGGGGUAACGGCCCACCAAGGCGACGAUCGGUAGCUGGUCUGAGAGGAUGAUCAGCCACACUGGGACUGAGACACGGCCCAGACUCCUACGGGAGGCAGCAGUGGGGAAUUCUGGACAAUGGGGGCAACCCUGAUCCAGCCAUGCCGCGUGCGGGAAGAAGGCCUUCGGGUUGUAAACCGCUUUUAGUCGGGAAGAAAAGGCGCGAGUUAAUACCUCGUGUUGUUGACGGUACCGGCGGAAUAAGCACCGGCCAACUACGUGCCAGCAGCCGCGGUAAUACGUAGGGUGCGAGCGUUAAUCGGAAUUACUGGGCGUAAAGCGUGCGCAGGCGGUUCGUUGUGUCGGUGGUGAAAGCCCCGGGCUUAACCUGGGAAUGGCCAUGGAAACUGGCGAACUGGAGUGUGGCAGAGGGGGGUGGAAUUCCGCGUGUAGCAGUGAAAUGCGUAGAGAUGCGGAGGAACACCGAUGGCGAAGGCAGCCCCCUGGGCUAGCACUGACGCUCAGGCACGAAAGCGUGGGGGAGCAAACAGGAUUAGAUACCCUGGUAGUCCACGCCCUAAGCUAUGUCAACUGGGUGUUCGGGAAGCGAUUUCUGAGU
rnacentral:rRNA from 1 species